rnacentral:rRNA from 1 species
UUUCGGGCCGGCCCCCAAUACAUGCCCAGUCCGAGCGAACAGAUAAGGAGCUUGCUCCUUUGACGUUAGCGGCGGACGGGUGAGUAACACGUGGGUAACCUACCUAUAAGACUGGAAUAACUCCGGGAAACCGGGGCUAAUGCCGGAUAACAUUUAGAACCGCAUGGUUCUAAAGUGAAAGAUGGUUUUGCUAUCACUUAUAGAUGGACCCGCGCCGUAUUAGCUAGUUGGUAAGGUAAUGGCUUACCAAGGCAACGAUACGUAGCCGACCUGAGAGGGUGAUCGGCCACACUGGAACUGAGACACGGUCCAGACUCCUACGGGAGGCAGCAGUAGGGAAUCUUCCGCAAUGGGCGAAAGCCUGACGGAGCAACGCCGCGUGAGUGAUGAAGGGUUUCGGCUCGUAAAACUCUGUUAUUAGGGAAGAACAAACGUGUAAGUAACUGUGCACGUCUUGACGGUACCUAAUCAGAAAGCCACGGCUAACUACGUGCCAGCAGCCGCGGUAAUACGUAGGUGGCAAGCGUUAUCCGGAAUUAUUGGGCGUAAAGCGCGCGUAGGCGGUUUCUUAAGUCUGAUGUGAAAGCCCACGGCUCAACCGUGGAGGGUCAUUGGAAACUGGGAGACUUGAGUGCAGAAGAGGAAAGUGGAAUUCCAUGUGUAGCGGUGAAAUGCGCAGAGAUAUGGAGGAACACCAGUGGCGAAGGCGACUUUCUGGUCUGUAACUGACGCUGAUGUGCGAAAGCGUGGGGAUCAACAAGGAUUAGAUACCCUGGUAGUCCACGCCGUAACGAUGAGUGCUAAGUGUAAGGGGGUUUCCGCCCCUUAGUGCUGCGCUAACGCAUAAGCACUCCGCCUGGGGAGUACGAACGCCAAGGUUGAAACUCAAGGAAUGACGGGGACCGCACCAACCGCUGAAGCAUGUGGUUUAAUUUCGAGGCAACGCG